GUAGGUGGCAAGCGUUGUCCGGAUUUAUUGGGCGUAAAGCGAGCGCAGGCGGUCAAUUAAGUCUGAUGUGAAAGCCCCCGGCUCAACCGGGGAGGGUCAUUGGAAACUGGUUGACUUGAGUGCAGAAGAGGAGAGUGGAAUUCCAUGUGUAGCGGUGAAAUGCGUAGAUAUAUGGAGGAACACCAGUGGCGAAGGCGACUCUCUGGUCUGUAACUGACGCUGAGGCUCGAAAGCGUGGGUAGCAAACAGGAUUAGAUACCCUGGUAGUCCACGCCGUAAACGAUGAGUGCUAAGUGUUGGAGGGUUUCCGCCCUUCAGUGCUGCAGUUAACGCAUUAAGCACUCCGCCUGGGGAGUACGACCGCAAGGUUGAA
rnacentral:rRNA from 1 species